rnacentral:rRNA from 1 species
GACGUAGGGCGCGAGCGUUGUCCGGAUUUAUUGGGCGUAAAGAGCGUGUAGGCGGCCAGGUAGGUCUGCUGUGAAAACUCGAGGCUCAACCUCGAGACGUCGGCGGAAACCAUCUGGCUAGAGUCCGGAAGAGGAGAGUAGAAUUCCUGGUGUAGCGGUGAAAUGCGCAGAUAUCAGGAAGAACACCCGUGGCGAAGGCGGCUCUCUGGGACGGUACUGACGCUGAGACGCGAAAGCGUGGGGAGCGAACAGG